GGUUGAUCCUGCCAGUAGUCAUAUGCUUGUCUCAAAGAUUAAGCCAUGCAAGUCUAAGUACGAGCUCUCGUACAGUGAAACUGCGAAUGGCUCAUUAAAUCAGUUAUGGUUCAUUUGAUCGUACAGUUUACUUGGAUAACUGUGGUAAUUCUAGAGCUAAUACAUGCGAGAAGCGCCGACCUCGCGGGAGGCGUGCAUUUAUCAGACCAAAAACCGGCCGCGUCUUCGGGCGCGUUCGCCUUGGUGACUCUGGAUAACUUUGCGGAUCGCACGGUCUAGCACCGGCGACGGAUCAUUCAAGUGUCUGCCCUAUCAACUUUCGUCGGUACGGUAUUUGCCUACCGAGGUUCUUACGGGUGACGGGGAAUCAGGGUUCGAUUCCGGAGAGGGAGCCUGAGAAACGUCUACCACAUCCAAGGAAGGCAGCAGGCGCGCAAAUUACCCAUUCCCGACGCGGGGAGGUAGUGACGAAAAAUAACAAUGCAGGACUCGUUCGAGGCCCUGUAAUUGGAAUGAGUACACUUUAAAAGCUUUAACGAGUAUCCAUUGGAGGGCAAGUCUGGUGCCAGCAGCCGCGGUAAUUCCAGCUCCAAAAGUAUAUAUUUAAGUUGUUGCGGUUAAAAAGCUCGUAGUUGGAUUUUGGGCGCAGGCGGCCGGUCCGUCGCAAGGCGUGUACUGGACGUCCUGGCCUUCCCUCCGGUUCUCCGCCGGUGCUCUUGACUGAGUGUCGGCGGCGGCCGGAACGUUUACUUUGAAAAAAUUAGAGUGUUCAAAGCAGGCUCUCGAGCCUGGAUAAUGGUGCAUGGAAUAAUGGAAUAGGACCUCGGUUCUAUUUUGUUGGUUUUCGGAGCGCGAGGUAAUGAUUAAGAGGGACAGACG
rnacentral:ncRNA from 1 species